AUAUUCUGCAUUAACAUCUCCUUCUCUCUCAAGGGAAUUUCUAGCAGACUUAAAGCACUGUAGGCAACAGAAAGGAAACCUGAAAUGCAACAUCCACCUGGAAGACACAUACAUAUUUGCUGAAGCGUGUUUCAAAUUUAACUGAAAAAGAAGAAGAAUAUAAUUGUGCUUCUCAUUCACUGCAAAUCUUGUGAUUUCAUAGUCUUCAGUGUUGACCUGUCAACCUGUAUGGGUUGUUUGUUUAAAAAGGUUGUAUUUUUAUUUUAUUUUAUUUUUUUAGGCAGACCACUUAAGUAUCAUGUGUUACUGAAUACCAGCUGAAUUAUUUUGUUGUUGUUGUUUUGACAGUCUUGCUCUGUUGCCCAGGCUGGAGUGCAGUGGCCUGAUCAUAGCUCACUGCAACCUCGAACUUCUGAGCUCAAACGAUCCUCCAACCUCAGCCUCCUGAGUAGCUGGGACUACAGGCGUGCACCAUCAUGCCCAGCUAUUUUUCAAAAAAAUUUUUGUAGAGAUGGAGAUCUGACUUUGUUGCCCAGGCUGGUCUCAAACUCCUAGCCUCAAGCAAUCCUCCCACCUCAGCCUCCCAAGGUUCUGGGAUGAUAGGUGUGAACCAUUGCAUCUGGCCCACCAGCUAAAUUCUUAACAUUUAAACUAUAAACAUUACAAUUUUUUGUUGCAGAACAAAAAUGAAAAGAAGAAAGAUGAAAAUACACUACAAUGUCACGGUCAUUUGCACCAGUUUCCUGUGUACAGCUCUGCUGCUCUACGCUCAUUUCUCAAUCAGGUUUUGUCUCUCUUUUUUGCAUUAAAAGCUGAGAGAGGAGCUAAAACUGCCCUGAGAAGCUCCCCCGGGACCCUGCCUGAUCAUCAGGGGAAUGGGGCCUACCUCAGCAGUCUACUUUCUUCAUUCAGCCCUAUAGCCUCAGGAGAGAAGUUUGUCUCGCUCAGAGGAAGCAGUGGCCGCUCUGUCCCAUACCCUGUCAGGCCAUUUCCCAUAGGAGACUGGACCUAGGGUGUGUGCUCAGGGUCCCAGUUUCUGCGGCGUUGAGCGGGUCCGGUACUCCUUUCCACACCAGGCUGAACCCCAAGGAAGCGAAUCCAUGUCCUCGUGGAAGAAUAGGCCCCAAAGUGCCAAGCAUCAGCCCCGUCAGUGCUGCCUGGAGAGCCGCCUGUGUCCUGCAGAACUUACACCCAUGCAAGAGUGCACCCACUCAGCAAAUGCGGGACACCGUCAGGAAGAACAAGACAUCCUUGCUUCAGCUUCCCUCCUGUCACCUUUCCACUUCCCUUUGGGGAAGGUGUGCCUGGGUUUGCACACGGACUGGGGCCCCAUCCCUGUUCCCCGCUGUGUGUGGCAGGGCAAGGGAAUGCAUUUUUAAAUACCUUUCAGGCUAGGAUUCCUUUUUUUUUUUUGAUGGCAUACUCUAACUCCAACAUUUCUUCUGUAAGUAUCACCAGUUAUUUUACUAAAAUCUAGAUUUCCCAAUCCAAGUGUUAGGAAGGUACUAUGCUGCUGCUGCUUUGGGGCUUUCUGUCUGGCAACAUCUAUAAACAGUGCAAUAGUGACUGUAGUCAGUUUCACGGUCUCAUGUCUGAAUCUUUUUUUUUUUUUUUUUGACAGAGUCCCACUCUGUCUUAGCCUCCCAAGUAGCUGGGAUUACAGGCGCCUGCCUCCACGCCCAGCUAAUUUUUUAUUUUUAGUAGAGAGGGGGUUUCACCAUAUUGGCCAGGCUGGUCUUGAACUCCUGAGCUCAAGUGAUCUGCCCGCCUCGGCCUCCCAAAGUGCUGGGAUUACAGGCGUGAGCCACCGCGCCCGGCCCUUUUUUUUUUUUUUUUUUGAGACAGUCUCCCUCUGUCCCCCAGGCUUGAGUGCAGUGGGGCGAUAUCUCGGCUCACUGCAACCUCCGCCCCACCAGUUCAAGUGAUUCUCCUGUCUCAGCCUCCCGAGUAACUGGGAUUACAGGUGUGCAUCACCACACCCAGCUAAUUUUUGUAUUUUUAGUAGAGACAGAGUUUCACCUUGUUGGCCAGGCUGGUCUCGAAUUCCUGACCUCAGGAGAUCUGCCCACCUCGGCCUCCCAAAGUGCUGGGAUUACAGGCGUGAGCCACGACACCCGGCCUAGGCUUCCUUCUUUAAAGACAAAUUUCCAGUGGGGCUCUGUAAGUAAUCCUCAUAUUUUCUCGUUGAGGAGUGUGGCCAGAGAAGGUGAGUCUUCUGCACGUAGCAGGGGGGAAAUGGUCAGGAGAUACUGUAAAAGCACUAAGAAAACCGGAAGGAAAAGGCCAGGCUCCAGGAGCACAGAGACUGGAUGGAUUCCUGCUUCCCUGUCACUCGGCUCUGUUCAGGCGGUGCAGUCACUUCCUUCACCUCAGUGUCCCUGUUUGUGCAAAUGAGGUGACUAUUGGUGCCGACCUACUUCCCAGGCAGUUUUGAAGAGAAGUGGCAAACGUUGAAGGGCGCACACUCUCCUUCCCCAAGCUCCCUCCCUCCCCACGUGUGCACCCAGAAGGAAAUAAAAGCCGUAAUUUGCACUGGCGAGUCGGCCCGCCUCGUCGAGGGUUCCGCUGAGCUGCUCACAAGGGCGUGCGGAGGCCCGCGGCCGGCCCUGGCCCCUGUGGUGGCAGCAGCUGGCUGGCUUCCCGGGCGGCUACCUCCAGCUGCAGCUGUCGGUGCUAUUUGCAGCUCUCCACAUCCUGAGAGCUGGACGCCGAGGACCGCUCCCUGGAGGGCGUGCGUAAAAUGCAGCAGCGGAGCGGUGAGGAGAUUACCGGAAAAACUGGGAGCGGAGUCAGGCUCGUUCUGGAGCAGGGAGAGGCUUGGGAAGUUGCGAAACGUUGACCUGCAGGGUCUUGAGGAACUGUCGGCCUGGGCUGUCCCCGUGGGUCAUUGAACAUUAAUCAGCCACCAGUCCUCGACCAAGCCAACCGAAAUAGAGUCAGCAGGCAGAAUGACGAAUACAGUUUGAAAGGGAACGAACUUACUCUUAUUCUCUCCUUGGAAAGGCCUUUCCAGACUCUCGAACUCACCCCUGUCACAUUACCCUGUUGUGUUAUCUUUGUGGGCCUGCGCAGCACCUGAAAUGAUCUGUCUUAGAGAUGGGGUCUCACUGUGUUGCCGAGGAUGGAGUACAGUGGCUAUUCACAGGCACAGUCAUUGUGCACUACAUCCUGGAACUCCUGGGCUUAAGCAAUCCUUCUGCCUCAGCCUCCCAAGUAGCUGGGACUAUAGACACACACCACCACACUCAGCAAAAGUGACAAUUGUUUCUAAUACAGACAUCCACACCUGGACAUACUGUGAAAAUUAUAUUCAUUGGGCAUAUUAGUGUCCGUUCUUUCCAAGAUCUGAGUUCAUAAUGUUUUCUUCUGUAAUUGUAAUGAAAUAUCACCAUUUCUUGCUAGCAUUAUACCAAAUCCCUCUAGGCAACUGGGUAGCAGGCUAUAUGCCAACCUAGGUUUUUGGAGAUGACUUGUAUCUUGUUUGCUAUUAGAGCCAACAUGUUAGAAUUUGUGAUUUGUCACAGAGUAGAAGACGAGUUCACUCAAGAAGCACUUAUUUAUGAGCACCUACACAGGUGAUAGAACAGUCAAAAGACAGGAGUUCUGGCCCUUCUGGAACUGACAAUCUUACUAGAAAAAUAAAUGUUACCACAUCACUUGAACAAAGGCACAAUUAUGCAAUUUGAGUUGUGUUUUGACUUCCUUCCCACUACCUUGUUUUUUUGUUUUUGUUUUUUGUUUGUUUUGUUUUGUUUUUAUGCUGGAGGUGUUGUGGGAGAUGGAGUUUUGCUCUUGUCACCCAGGCUGGAGUGUGAUGGCACGAUCUCAGCUCACUGCAACCUCUGCCUCCCAGGUUCAAGUGAUUCUCCUGCCCCAGCCUCCUGAGUAGCUGGGAUUACAGGCAUACGCCACCACGCCCGGCUAAUUUUUUGUAUUUUCAGUAGAGAUGGGGUUUCACCAUGUUAGUCAGGCUGGUCUCGAACUCCUGACCUCAGGUGAUCUGCCUGCCUCAGCUUCCCAAAGUGCUGGGAUUACAGGUGUGAGCCACUGCACCCGGCCCCUCCUUGCUGUCUUAAUAGAAAGUGGAAAAUAGAAAUCUUCUGCACAAGGCCUUUGGUUUGAAUGCAACAUGCCUAGAGAUAGGGAACUGGAAUCCAACACCGUUGCCUACAGAUCUUUGGAGACUAAAAGAGAAAAAAUCCAGGAAAGAAAAAAAAAAAAACAAAAAACGGCUGCCAUAGCUAUUGGCCUCAUUGGACAGGCCUGGGUGAUGUGCACAGACCCUAAAGGUGGCCGGAGCUGACCAGCUUCCUAUUGCACUCUUCUGGGUGGCCCAGGCACCCAGUUGCAUUGGCUGUGGCCACUGAGAAAGGAUUGAGUCAGGCUGAGCCAUGGGCAAUGACAGAGGAGAGGGGAUCAGCAGAGCCUACCUGAAAGCAAAGGAGAAAUGGGUCGGUCACCUCAUCGCAGAAUUUACAGAUGAAGGGGACAAACUUGUUACCUGAGGGUUUCCUUCAUGCCUUGGAGUUUCUCUGAAAGAAAAGACAGCUGAGCAUUUGCCCUGUUUUUGUUUUACCAUUUUUACACUUUCGAAGUCAUGCCAUCAAGUUUUAAGCUAGUAAGAGGACCAUAUACCGAAUGGUACAAUAUCAUAGUUCUUGUAGCAGCUACAUUUUGAUGAAUAAAAUUUCUUUUAAAAUCUCUUUUUUAAAAAUGAAGAGACUUCUUCUACCAGGCAGCAAAUGUUUCUUUCCUAUGUAAACUUAGCUUGCAAACAUAAUUUUAAACAGCUUUAUCAUGACUAUAUAUCUUGCUAAUUUAUUAUCUUUUUUUUUUCUUUCUUUCAGAGUCAUGGUCUUGCUAUAUCACCCAAGCUGGAGUGCAGUGGCAUGAUCAUAGCUCACUGCAACCUUGAACUCCUGGGCUGGAGCAAGCCUCCCAACUUGGCCUUCCAAAAUGCUGAGAUUGAUUACAGGUGUGAGCCACCUCACUGGGCCUCUUGCUAGUUUAUUGUUUAAAAAUCUUCCUCAGGGCCGGGUGCAGUGGCUCAUGCCUGUAAUCCCAGGCCUUUGGGAGGCUGAGAUGGGAGGAUCACUUGAUCCCAGGAGUUUGAGACCAGCCCGGGCAACAUGGAGAGAGCCUGUCUCUACAAAAAAUCAGCAAUUAGCUGGGCGUGGUGGUGUGCACCUGUAGUCCCACUACUCAAGAGGCCGAGGAGGGAGGAUCACUUGAACUCAGAGGGUUGAGGCUAUAGUGAGCCAUGAUUGAGUCAUUGCACUCCAGCCUGGGCGAUAGAGUGAGACUUUGUCUCAAAAAAGAAGAAUAAAUAAAUAAAUAAAUAAAUAAUAAAAGCCUUCCUUAGACUUUUUCCCUGGCACUUUCUGAAGUGAUGGCAGAUGGGUUUUAUUCUGGUUCUUAUAAUAGCUAAAAUUGGGUCACAGAAAGGAAUCUAGAUUAGAUGACAAGAUUAUUAUUUUCAUCUGAUAAUUUCCAUUACUCACCUAACUGCUGUCUUUCCUGGAAUUAAAGAGAAAAGAAACUAUGGAGGCCGGGAGCGGUGGCUCACGCCUGUAAUCCCAGCACUUUGGGAGUCCGAGGUGGGUGGAUUGCCUAAUGUCAGGAGUUCAAGACCAGCCUGACCAACAUGGUAAAAUCCCGUCUCUACUAAGAAUACAAAAAAAAAAAAGUAGCCGGGCGUGGUGGCGGGUGCCUGUAAUCCUAGCUACUCAGGAGGCUGAGGCAGGAGAAAUGCUUGAACCUGGGAGGCGGAGGUUGCAGUGAGCCAAGAUCGCACCAUUGCACUCCAGCCUGGGCAACAAGAGUGAAACUCCAUCUCAAAAACAAACAAACAAACAAAAACUAUGGAGACCCAGGUUCCAGGGCCCUUGGGUGGAGAAUAAAUUUUAGGAAUUCCUUUGGAUAUCUGACAGUAGAAGCUAUUCCUUGUAAGUCUGUUGCUGUGAAAUCACAACAUAGCUCAUUUAGCAGCGGGACAGCCCAUCUCUGGAAAAAAAAUGGUGUGAGGGUGGAAUUACGCCUUGGGAGGCCAAGGAGGGAGGAUUGCUUGAGGCCAGGAAUUCAAGACCAGCCUGGACAACAUAGCAAGACUCUGUCUCUACAAAAAAUAAUUUUAAAAAAAUUAGGCAUGGUGGUGCAUGCCUGUAGUCCUAACCUACUUGAGAGGCUGAGGUAGGAGGACUGCUUGAACCCAGGAAGUUUAGACUGUAGUGAGCCAUGAUUGUGCCACUGCACUCCAGCCUGGGUGACAGAGCAAGACUCUGUCUCAUAAAAAAAAAAAUGAAUAAAUAACAUAGAAAAAAAGAUAUUCAUAAUAAAAUAAAAUGGAAAUAUUUUGAUGAUUUCUUAGUGAGAUUUUAAGAAUUGUUAUUAAUAGCCUACUAAGACCUAGAGGUAAGAACAAAUUAGAUUUGGCCUGAAAAUGAAGAUGUAGCAAAAAACAAUAAAGAAAAAAAUGGCAUCUCUGUUUUUUGUUUUUUGUUUUUUUUUUCAGACGGAGUCUUGCUCUUUUGCCCAGGCUAGCGUACAGUGGCAUGAUAUCAGCUCUCUGCAACCUCUGCCUCCUGGGUUCAAGCAAUUCUCCUGCCUCAGCCUCCCAAGCAGCUGGGAUCACACGCAUGCACCACCAUGCACUGCUAAAUUUUAGUAUUUUUAGUAGAGACAGGGUUUCAUCACAUUGGCCAGGCUGGUCUCAGACACCUGGCCUCAAGUGAUCUGCCUGCCUCGGCCUCCCAAAGUGCUGGGAUUACAGGCGUGAGCCACCGCGCCCUGCCAAAAUCAAUAUUAUUUUGAUUUUUUAGUAGAGACUGGCCUGGGUCAGUUGAUUCUUAAGUACAGUUAUUUAAAAACCUUUAGGACCUUAACAAUUUUUUUAAAAACUCCCAAGUUUUAUAUUUUUAUUUAUUUAUUUAUUUAUUUUUGAGACAGAGUUUCACUCUUUCGCCCAGGCUGGAAUGUAGUGGUGUGAUCUUGGCUCACUGCAACCUCUGCCUCCCGGGUUCAAGCGAUUCUCCUGCCUAAGCCUCCCGAGUAGCUGGGACUACAGGUGCAUGCCACCAUGCCGAGCUAAUUUUUAUAUUU
rnacentral:lncRNA from 10 species